rnacentral:rRNA from 1 species
UACGUAGGGGGCAAGCGUUGUCCGGAUUCAUUGGGCGUAAAGCGCGUGUAGGCGGCCAGGUAGGUCCGGUGUGAAAACUCGAGGCUCAACCUCGAGAGGUCAUCGGAAACCAUCUGGCUAGAGUGCGGAAGGGGCAACUGGAAUUCUUGGUGUAGCGGUGAAAUGCGUAGAUAUCAAGAGGAACACCUGCGGCGAAGGCGGGUUGCUGGGCCGACACUGACGCUGAUGCGCGAAAGCUAGGGGAGCGAAAGGG